rnacentral:rRNA from 1 species
GAUGAACGCUGGCGGCGUGCCUAAUACAUGCAAGUCGAGCGGACGGACGCGAAGCUUGCUUCUCUGAUGUUAGCGGCGGACGGGUGAGUAACACGUGGAUAACCUACCUAUAAGUGUGGGAUAACUUCGGGAAACGGGAGCUAAUACCGGAUGAUCUUUUGAUCCGCAUGGUUCGAAGGUGAAAGACGGUGUUGGUGGCUGUAAUAGAUGGAUCCGCGCUGCAUUGGCUAGUUGGUAAGGUAACGGCUUAUGAAGGCAACGAUGCAUAGACGACGUGAGAGGCUGAUAGGCGACAUUGGAACGGGGACACGGACAAGAGUACAGAGAGAGGGCGCAGUCGGCAAUCUUCCGCAGCGGGCGAGAGCCUGACGGAGCAACGCCGCGUGAGAUAUGAAGGUGUUCGGAGCGGGAUACUCUGUUAUGAGGGAUGAACAUAUGUGUAAGUAGCUGUGCACAUCUUGACGGUACCUAAUAAGGAAGCCCCGGCUAACUACGUG